CCAGCAGCUGCGGUAAUUCCAGCUCCAAUAGCGUAUAUUAAAGUUGUUGCAGUUAAAAAGCUCGUAGUUGGAUUUGUGGUGUACUUCGGCGGCCCGUCACUCUGUGAUGGAGCUUGCUGAAGUCGCCAUCCUUGGGUGGAUCCUGUGUGGCAUUAAGUUGUCGUGCAGGGGAUGCCCAUCGUUUACUGUGAAAAAAUUAGAGUGUUCAAAGCAGGCUUAUGCCGUUGAAUAUAUUAGCAUGGAAUAAUAAGAUAGGACCUUGGUACUAUUUUGUUGGUUUGCGCACCAAGGUAAUGAUUAAUAGGGACAGUUGGGGGUAUUCGUAUUUCAUUGUCAGAGGUGAAAUUCUUGGAUUUUUGAAAGACGAACUACUGCGAAAGCAUUUACCAAGGAUGUUUUCAUUAAUCAAGAACGAAAGU
rnacentral:rRNA from 1 species